AGUCCAUAUUUCAACUAUAAAUGAGGAGCGUCUGUUGAAUACCUACAUAAGAUAAUGCUAAGAUUGAUAUCUAUGUAUAUUAUCUGAUACCUGUUCAGUGGUUUUUAAACCAAACAACAAGGAUCUCUUUUAAAGUAAGAAUUGACUAUCUAAAUAAUGGUCAUGUGAAUGGUAUAACGACUUCUCUAUUGUCUCCGCUAAAUGCUCUAUGAAAUAGACUUAGCUUUGAAUAGGAAGCUUGAUAUACUGGGACGGUAAGACCCUGUGCACCUUUAUUUUCCUUCAAAAAAAUGAGUUUUGC
rnacentral:rRNA from 1 species